UUUUUUCACAGCAAUGGCGGUUCGCGGAGCCUCUCAAUACUUCCCGGAAGUAAGCGGCACAUGCUAGCAGCGCAAUGGAGUUACAGCAGAAAGACCAGCUGUGAUGUACUUUUAACGGGAGCACUGGGUGGUGGCGGAGCAGUGAUGCUGCAGGACCACUGUGUGAGAGAGGACACUGCAGCACAAGAACAACAGGGGGAUGCAGCGGAGCCUGAACUCACCCCGCAAUGAAACAACCCCCUUACCCUGAAUCUCAACUCUGUGGGUUUUGCAAGCCUUUACCUGUUCCUUAUUUUUAAUAAACCAAACA